AGCAGCCGCGGUAAUUCCAGCUCCAAUAGCGUAUAUUAAAGUUGUUGCAGUUAAAAAGCUCGUAGUUGAAUUUCGAGAUCAAAUUGUUGGUCGUGCCUUGGUACGCACUGGCAUUAUUGGUUUCUCCCUUCUGACGAACCAUGAUGUCAUUAAUUUGGUGUCUUGGGGAAUCAGGACUGUUACUUUGAAAAAUUAGAGUGUUUAAAGCAGGCUCACGCUUGAAUACAUUAGCAUGGAAUAAUGAAAUAGGACGUUUGAUUCUAUUUUGUUAGUUUCUAGGAUCGACGUAAUGAUUAAUAGGGAUAGUUGGGGGCAUUAGUAUUCAAUUGUCAGAGGUGAAAUUCUUGGAUUUAUUGAAGACUAACUACUGCGAAAGCAUUUGCCAAGGAUGUUUUCAUUAAUCAAGAACGAAAGUUAGGGGAUCGAAGACGAUCAGAUACCGUCGUAGUCUUAACCAUAAACUACGCCGACUAGGGAUCGGAUGAUGUAAUUUUUAAUGA
rnacentral:rRNA from 1 species